UUGUUGUUGUUGCUUAUCAAUGUAGUCCUUACCGUCUAACUCCAUUAAAAAUUUCAUUAGUGUGAUGUGUGGGACCCAAAGGGGCCUAGAAAGCCAAUCAUAAUAAUACCACAUGGACUAAUCAUUCGUUUUUAAAAUUAUUUCAAAUUCCAAAAUAAUGAACAACCACUAUCUCACUCCUUAUAAAGCCAAUACUAAGUCAAUAUAAGGAUUUUAUUUUUGGCAAACCAAAAAGUUUGGAACUUCUAAAUUCUAGAGUUCUACCACAAAUAGUCCCUUAUGUUUUGUCGACUCAUCAAUUUGGUUCUUUAUGUUCCAAACUCAUCAAUUUCAUCAUUCAUCUCUUGCUUCAUUCAUCAAUGUUGUCCUCCCAUCUAACUCUGUUAACGAAAUACGUUAGUAUAUAAUGUGGCACCAAUGUAAGGCCCACAAAGCCAAUUACGUAAUGUCAUGUGGAUUAUGUAAAAAACAACAAAUAAUAUAAAUAAAAAAGAUAAAUAUAAACUCGGCCAAAAUGAAUUUGGGAUACGUUUUAAAUGCAAAUUCAUUUGAAUUUUAAAUGAGUAUUAAAAUCCUACAACGUCACUGAAAACAAAAUUUAAUGAUAUUGUGAGUUAGUCCCAAUCUAAAUAUAGCCGUUGUAUCUGCCACAAGGACAAAUAUUUGGAGAAAUAUUGACGUCAUGUGUUAUUGCCAAUCUACGUACACCACAUGGACAAAAACUUUAUGAGAUAUUGACGUGUUAUUGCCAAUCCGUAUAUAACACGUGUGUCUUAAACGUAUUUGAUGGUAAUUCUAUAUAAAUCUAUUCGAUGUUAUUGCCAAUCCAUAUACAUUCAUAGUCUUCCUCAAAUCACUACGCAUUGCAAUUCAUAUUGCUUUCAAAUCACUCUUGUUCUUUGCUUUUAUGUUCGACCAUUGUGCCAUCCUCGAUAUCUUGCCACAUUGGUUAAAGCUUGAGCUCCUUGAGCCAUGAGGCGUGUUCAAAUCCAAUCGCUGCAAUCGGGUUCUAGGUUGGUAGAACAAGUUGUCUGAGGCGAGGGGUUUUUGCGGCUGCGUAGAUCAAAUGGUUGUCGAUUACGAACACAGAGAAAUGGAAAACCAAGGAAGAUAAAUUCCCCAGCUGAGACGUGAAGCACUCUUCAAUAUUCCUUUCUGUGUUUCGCUUGAUUGAUCAUUGGACCAAGAACACAAUCCUCGAGGAGCAUUGAAGAAGUUAAACUUUGAU
rnacentral:lncRNA from 1 species